rnacentral:lncRNA from 1 species
AUGUCAUCAUUUGCCGACCAUAGCUUCUCAAAUGGUUGUAUAUUGGUGAAGAGAUUAACACAAGACUACCCUCACUAGGUAAAGCUAAAGAUGAUAUGUAAUGACACCAAACAAUCUGACACAUCAGCUUCCACGCCAUCAUUUUGACCCGGUAAACAGUGAUGCAGAUUAGCAUGGAGGUUGUCUGACAAGAACUCACACUUUGAAUCUAUUUAGGGAGGUAAUAUAUGUACAUAUUAGUUGAGGCAAUCAUAACUGGUCCUCUAAUGUACUUGCAGCUAGCACCUUGUAUUCUUUGGAAAGUCUGUGUUGCUGGUUAAAAACACUUGAGUUUAUUCUUUUCUCACCAUAACUUGUUAAUCAGAAGGCAGGAAAUCCGAUGGUGAAGACGGAUUGCGCAAGCUAUAAACGGAGGUA